rnacentral:rRNA from 1 species
UACGGGAUAAUAUAUUUGAGAGGCAUCUCUUGAAUAUCAAAGGUGAGCCAGUACAGGAUGGACCCGCGUCUGAUUAGCUAGUUGGUAAGGUAACGGCUUACCAAGGCGACGAUCAGUAGCCGACCUGAGAGGGUGAUCGGCCACAUUGGAACUGAGACACGGUCCAAACUCCUACGGGAGGCAGCAGUGGGGAAUAUUGCACAAUGGGCGAAAGCCUGAUGCAGCAACGCCGCGUGAGUGAUGAAGGCCUUCGGGUCGUAAAACUCUGUCCUCAAGGAAGAUAAUGACGGUACUUGAGGAGGAAGCCCCGGCUAACUACGUGCCAGCAGCCGCGGUAAUACGUAGGGGGCUAGCGUUAUCCGGA